GACAGAGGGUGCAAACGUUGUUCGGAAUUACUGGGCGUAAAGCGCGUGUAGGCGGUCGUACAAGUCGGGUGUGAAAGCCCAGGGCUCAACCCUGGAAGUGCAUUCGAUACUGUAUGGCUAGAGUCCCGGAGAGGAUGGUGGAACUCUCGGUGUAGAGGUGAAAUUCGUAGAUAUCGAGAAGAACACCGGUGGCGAAGGCGGCCAUCUGGACGGUGACUGACGCUGAGACGCGAAAGCGUGGGGAGCAAACGGG
rnacentral:rRNA from 1 species